rnacentral:misc_RNA from 1 species
GUGAGUCAUCGAAUCUUUGAACGCACAUUGCGCCCGCCAGUACUCUGGCGGGCAUGCCUGUUCGAGCGUCACUCUCUAUCCGUCAAGCCCAGCUUGUGUUGGGGCACUGCGGCUGUCGCAGGCCCCCAAAGAAAGUGGCGGGACCGUUGUCGUGCCGAGCGUAGUACAGCACCUCGCUCCGGCGCCGGCAGUGGCCUCCAGCCGUUAAAGCCCCUACUUUACGUACUGGUUGACCUCGAAUCAGGUAGGAAUACCCGCUGAACUUAAGCAUAUCAAUAAGCGGAGGA